UUUGAGUUGUAGUAACGUUGCAUGCACUGAAUUUUGAGUUAUUGGAUGUUGCCGCUGCUUUUGUUCCUUCUCCUCUCCAUCUUCCGGUUUUUUAGUUUCUACUUCGAGGAGAAAGGAGAGAAUUGCAAACUUGAGAUGCAGGGAUGGAGCAUAGGAAGCUCAUAUUAAAAAUUCUACCCAUUUUCUGGAGACAUUUCUAUGCUGUUAUACUGCAGGUUGAACUGAAUGAGCUGAAAAUCCAACUCUCUUCGAGCUUAAUGGAGAUAAAACAAACAACAAGCUACCGAAUAUGCUGGAUUACCUUAGAGUGUACAUAUCUCCUUUCUCGAAAUUGGAACUGACUAACACGUAUCAAUGGUGGUGGUUAUCAAUAACGAAGAAGUAAGAAGGAUUGUAUGCUGAUUUGGAAGUUUUUGAUCGCCUCAAUGUUCUAGAUUUACAGGUAUAGAUGUGUCAUUUUCUUUUUAACUUGCUUCAAACAAUUUUUGCUUUAACCACAUGGGAUCAAUUAUCGAGUAUUAAACAACUCCAGAGAUGAAUAUGAAGAUCACUAUUUACUGAUUUUAAACCUCUUAUUUAAUGGAACAAAGACUGGAGGUAGUAUAUGCAUCCUAAUUGUUCCAAAAUACAUCCUAUUCUGCUAUCUUGCUAUGUCGGUAUUCUAUAAGUACUGUUAAUUCCCUUUCACAAUAUUUUUUUCACAUGACCUAUUCUUUAUGUAGUUUUUGCAAAUUUUUGUGUUUCAUGGUUACACAAUGCAGAUAAGGAGACGGCCUUACAAAAGACAAGAAGCAAACAGAUGCAGUAGCUAAUAUAUCCAAAACAUACUUUGGCAUCAAUAUAUCUGCAAAUAUGUAUAUUUGUGUGGUAUCUUCAACAUGUCUGUAAAUACGAUACCUGAUGCAACUUUUAUUGAAUGUUACUCUAUUCGUUCUAUUAUGGCAUGUGCCACAUAUUAACCAUCUGAUAGCUUCAAUCCAAUUAGCUUUAAGUUUCUCCAUGUGCUAAAUUUUUGUUCUUUUUUGUUCUUUACUGCUAUCUUUCAUGACCAAAUGACUAUGCAAAACAUCCAAAAUUGACUACCGCUUGAAAAUGUAAAUUGUUGCCAUCCCCAUCUAGUCAUUGGAAAAAAGGCAACUGCUUUUUUCUCAAAUUCUAGCUUUGCAUCAAGAGUACUCAAGCAGUGAAAAUAAUAUCAAGUUUUAUAUUAUCCGAAUCAGGUUUGAUUGUUUUAUUUUUAUUAUUUUGCAUUUAAAUUUGUUAUUAUUUUUCUUCAUAGUAUAUAUUGUCUUUUUAGUUAUUUUUUAGAGUUUAAAUAUAUCAACAUGAAAGUAUGAAUUUGGAUAUUUGAAACUCCAAAAAAAAAAAAAAAAAAAAAAAGAGAUUGAAACGUUUUUAAUACAAUCUCAAAAUGGAGCCCUUGAUAAAUUUUAAUAAACAAUAAAAAUUCUACAAAAAAAAAAUGAAAGAAUUUAAUGUUGACGAACAAAUUGAUGAU